AGCUUUGCGCAGUGGCGAUAUCGUAACCAGUGAGGUUCAACCGAGGUGCGAUUAUUGCUAGUUGAAAACAUAUUGAAUUUCCAUCACAUGCGAUAAACCAUAGAUUUAAUCAGUAAAAAUUUGAAUAUACGAGGGAAAUACGCA